GUGGCAAACAAAAUCUGGCUUUUCCUUUCUUUCUGAAGCUUCGUGGAGAACGCAAUGGCAACCCAGGAAUUCCAGAGCAGAUUUAUACCCAUCGAAAUCAGCAGCAUUCUCUUCGCGUUCCCCCCCCCCAUGUGGGCUUCUCUUCUACACCAGAAAAAACGCUUCUCUAAUGUCAUAGAAGAGUGUUUCCUUCCGCUCUCGUCGUCACCUUCCUUGUUUCUCAGAAUUCAUUUCCAUCUACUGGGAUUUCCAUUUCUCCCAUUUUCGAUUCUUCAUUCGCAAAUCUUUUGAUUUUCAAUGGCUUCUUCGAGUUCUCAUCUCAUCGCUGACGGAUGAAUCGCCAAUGGUCAGAGAAGCCUCCAUGGCUUCUCUUAAGGACAUUUCUCCUCUGAAUCCUCUCCUUGUCCUUGACUGUUGUUCUGCUAUUUCUAGAGGUGGCCGUCGGAUAAAAAGGACAUUGAUGCCGCUUAUAUUGUCAAGCUCGCCAAAAUUGCCACUGCCGAGAUUAUCUCUUCUAAGAUACAUAUCUUGCACAGCCUUUUCAACGACUUCUGCAUUAACAGAUUGGAGUAGUGUAUUUUUUCUGUUAUAUAUACAUCUGUCCCUACUAUUGUUGUUGGCAUUCUUGACAAUGACUUGAGUCAUAAAACACUCCUAAGUGACAUGAUGCGUAUAAUCUGCAACUCUUUUGGAUCACAAUGAUUUACACACUAUGGCAGAGCCUUGUUCUAUUCUAUAUACCUUUUUUCACAUAUAAGGAGAGCUCAAUUGAUAUAUGGAGCAUGGGCAGUUUGUGGACUAUAGCAGUUGUUAUUCUUGUUAAUAUACACUUGGCGAUGGACAUUCAGCGUUGGGUAUUCAUUACUCAUGCUGCAGUGUGGGGAUCAAUAAUUAUCACAUGUGCUUGUAUGGUGGUAUUGGAUUCUAUACCUAUCUUCCCAGAUUACUGGGCAAUCUACCAUGUGGCAAAGUCACCCACCUAUUGGCUCACCAUUUUGCUUAUAAUAAUUGUGGCUUUACUUCCUCGCUUUCUUCUCAAAGUUAUACAUCAGAAUUUUUGGC